UUUGAUGGGUGGGGUGGGAUACGCACCACAUAGCCUUCUCCCUUUGAUUACAUUUAAUAUAAUUAAUUGAAGUCUUUCUUUGUAUAAUAAUUGAAGCAAAAAUAAAUACUACAACAACAGAUGCCGAGAAAGAUGAGUAGGAGAGAUCAAAGUUGGAUUGAAUAUGAGGGGUGGGAGUGAUGAACUUUGGAAAAGACAUAAAAUACUAGAGGAAGUACACGUUUCUCAAUGCACCAUCUCUGUGUUUUCUAUGCACCAAAAACUUCUCAUUUCUCAGCUGGCCUUCAUGUUUCCAUGUGCAUAUCCAUGCUUUGUCCACAUAUCGACAGCUAUAUAUCCGCCGCCCGUGACAUCAUUUCCACCAGCAGCAGCUCAUCCAAUGGUGCACGCACAAGAUCACAAUGCCUUACAACCACCACCACCACAAUUGUUUAUCCCACAAACGAUGGUCCAGGCUACCCGAAUUACAUACCCCUUAAGCUGUAGAGACCAAAAGGAAGGGUGGUGAUGGCUUUUGGAAAGGAUGUUUUGCUGCCUUGUGUUGCUGCUGUGCCUUAGACAUGUUCUGUUGCUGAAGACUAUAUAUCAGAUAGUUCAAGUUCCUUUUUGUUAUUAAUCGUUUUCAUUAAUCUAAUUCAUGUGGUGAUUGAAAUGGUAAUUACAUGCAUGUCUCAUUAGUGUUCAUGUAAAACUGGUUCAUGGUGACCUAUUCUCUGAUCAGCAGAAGACAUAAAUAUGUUCCAUGGUAAGGUUUUUUGGUGUCGAAUGAAUGGUCUCCACGCAUUUUAUUCUUCCUCAAAAGAUUAACAUAGGGACCUUAACAAAUGACAACUAAGCUGUAAACCAAGAUAGGAUUAGCGCAUACAAUAGAAUAAAGACCAAACUAGUACAAGAAUAUUCAUUGUGAUGCGGUUUGCAACUUUGUGUGAUAAAGGUUAGUGCUUUAGCCACUACAUGAACCCGUUUCGGCCUUAAACGGCACAGAUUACAGACCCAGCUAAAAUGGGUUUUGAGCCUCAGCAACCCAACCUGAGAGCCAGAGAGUAGAGGACUAUUUAUGGGCUUAAAAGAAUAAAUAGAACUUGAUUAAAGGGCUAUCUUUAAAAGAGUGUCUGGGCCAUAUGGCCCAGAUUGAGAGCCCAAUUGAAAGGUUUUGUGUUCAAUGCAAGUAAUUCUCAAAUAAGCAAAAUUGCUCAAAGGUCU